CUACAUUACAAAUCUGAGUAAAAAAAUAAAUAAACGUACAUGUGAAUCCCAAAUUGUAAUUACUUAUAACAAAGAUCAAUAUAGACUCUUUUUUUCUCUCAAAUUAGUUUGCAAACUAUAGACUCUAAACAAGAUGGAAAUAAUACAUUAUAUUUUGAAGUAAUAGUAUAAUUUACUGCUGCAUAUUUUCCUUCUACAUAAGUACUUGCCAGUAAUCCUGCAAAAACAAUUAAAAAAGAAAACUGAUGUAAGUGCAAAGAAACAGGUGCUACAAAUUCAGAAAAAUUGGUGUUACCUGUUUGUGAUUUGGUAUUGUUUACUUUCAACGUUUGCUUCUUGAACCCUUUUUUCCUUCAGAACCUUUCUUUUCGCUCACAUAAGAUGCUGUGGAUUCCUUUGAUUUCUCUGUGUCUUUGCUAGAACCCUUUUGGUUAGAAGAUUUUCCCUCAGUCAAAUGUUCGCGUGAGGUUUCAUACUCUCUUGUAUCAUUUCCAGAAUAGUGUCAGAGUUUGAAGAAAAGGCAUAGAGGACAAAACUAACUCAAAUUAUGAAUAUUGAAUAUUUAAAAAAGAAAUGAAGGUGAUGAACUACCUCUUGGAUCUAUCAAGGAGGAGGUGUUAAAAACGGUGACCCACACAAAUAAUUUUACUCUUUAAUCCAUUGUGGAUAAUUUUCAUUAAACCUUCUUAACCUUUAAAUAGGUGCAAAUCGAGCCUUGGACCGAGUACAAAUAAUAAAAAUUGACAAUAAAAUAUCAAUUCACUUAAAAAUAAAAUAUACUUAUUCUAUCAUAAAAUAAUAUUCUACUUAAAUAAAUAGAAAAUCAUAAUUACUCAUCUUUAUUUUAUCUCUAUUAAAUCAAAUCAAAUAUUAGUAAACCUAAAACUAAUAAAAUAAGAUUUAAACAAAAUUAUUAAUAAAACUCUAAGAUUUCAACUUAUUCUAACACUACCUGCUGGAAUAGCGAUCGGUUGAUGAGCUCAUUCUUAAUGAACAAUAUGAAUACAAAUUCUAUUCUG
rnacentral:lncRNA from 1 species